rnacentral:piRNA from 1 species
UCUGCCUGUGCAUGGACUUCCUGUAC